CGCAGUUUUAGCUGGCGCGUUUCCAGCACUUUCUCGACGACGUAAUAGCCUUUGAUCACAGUAGAGAAACGCUUUGCUGACCUGGCGCUGGAGAGAAGGUUCCGGAGCUCGGCGGUGUGGAGCAGCGGAUGGACGUCCCGUGGGUGUGCAGGUCUGACGCCCUCACUUCUGUCUGCAGUCUGUCGAGGGACCAGCGAAUCCCCGGAGAUGCUCCUUCACCACUGAUGUCGGGCAGGAUGAUGGACAGGAUGCUUAUUUUUCCCACUUCCAGUCAGGCCGCCCCUUCGCUUUUGUAUGGACGCAGAGCUGAGCUGCGUGUCCAGCACCCUCGCUGAGGAAUCCCCGGCUCGCCCUCGGCACAGCUGGCCUGAGCUAACGGCACGGGGGCGGCCAAGGCCGAGUGAUGCAACGCCAUCUUGGCACACCGUGCUCUGGGCCACGACCUUCUUUGAUCAGCAAAGCCAGGGUCGUGGCAAGGCCGGUGCUGACAGGCAGACGUCUGAGCCCCGGCGGACGGGGGGAAAUUUAUUAUUAAAGCUGCAUUUCAUCUGUC